AGCUCCAAUAGCGUAUAUUAAAGUUGUUGCGGUUAAAAAGCUCGUAGUUGGAUUUCUGCCGAGGGCGACCGGUCUCCUCACUUCGAGGUUGUACAUGGUUUGACCGAGGCUUUUUCUUGGAUUUCGGUUGUAGCCUUAACUGUCUGCUCCGAUCUACAAGACUUUUACUUUGAGGAAAUUAGAGUGUUUCAAGCAGGCUUAUGCCGUGAAUAUAUUAGCAUGGAAUAAAAAGAUAUGACUUUGGUUGUAUUUUGUUGGUUUCUAAAACUGAAGUAAUGAUAAAUAGGGACAGUCGGGGGCAUUCGUAUUUAACUGUCAGAGGUGGAAUUCUUGGAUUAGUUAAAGACGAACUACUGCGAAAGCAUUUGCCAAGGAUGUUUUCAUUG
rnacentral:rRNA from 1 species